GACGAACGCUGGCGGCGUGCUUAACACAUACAAGUCGAACGGUAAGGCUCCAGCUUGCUGGGGUACACGAGUGGCGAACGGGUGAGUAACACGUGGUGACCUGCCCUGCACUUCGGGAUAAGCCUGGGAAACUGGGUCUAAUACCGGAUAGGACCGCACCGUGAGGGUGUGGUGGAAAGUUUUUCGGUGUGGGAUGGGCCCGCGGCCUAUCAGCUUGUUGGUGGGGUAAUGGCCUACCAAGGCGGCGACGGGUAGCCGGCCUGAGAGGGUGGACGGCCACAUUGGGACUGAGACACGGCCCAGACUCCUACGGGAGGCAGCAGUGGGGAAUAUUGCACAAUGGGCGGAAGCCUGAUGCAGCGACGCCGCGUGGGGGAUGACGGCCUUCGGGUUGUAAACUCCUUUCACCAUCGACGAAGGGUUUCUGACGGUAGAUGGAGAAGAAGCACCGGCUAACUACGUG
rnacentral:rRNA from 1 species